rnacentral:rRNA from 1 species
AGAGUUUGAUCAUGGCUCAGAACGAACGCUGGCGNCGUGCCUAACACAUGCAAGUCGUGCGAGAACGGUUCCUUCGGGAAUCGGGAAAGCGGCGAACGGGUGAGUAAUACGUGAGCGAUCUACCCGAGGGUGGGGGAUAACCCAGGGAAACCUGGACUAAUACCGCGUACAGCGCCGGGACUGGAUGCCCGGCGUGAAAGUCGGCCUCUUCUAUGCUGGCGCCUUCGGAUGAGCUCGCGGCCUAUCAGCUUGUUGGUGGGGUAACGGCCUACCAAGGCUAUGACGGGUAGCUGACGUGAGAGCGUGAUCAGCCACAUUGGGACUGAGACACGGCCCAGACUCCUACGGGAGGCAGCAGUGGGGAAUAUUGCGCAAUGGGCGAAAGCCUGACGCAGCGACGCCGCGUGGGGGAGGAAGGCCUCAGGGUUGUAAACCCCUGUCAGGCGGGACGAACUACUUGUCGGUCAAUUCUCC